rnacentral:rRNA from 1 species
AUUGAACGCUGGCGGCAUGCCUUACACAUGCAAGUCGAACGCGAAAGGGGGGCAACCCCCGAGUAGAGUGGCGGACGGGUGAGUAAUACAUCGGAACGUACCCAGUAGUGGGGGACAACCUCGAGAAAUCGAGGCUAAUACCGCAUACGACCCACGGGUGAAAGCGGGGGACCGCAAGGCCUCGCGCUAUUGGAGCGGCCGAUGUCCGAUUAGCUAGUUGGUGGGGUAAGAGCCCACCAAGGCGACGAUCGGUAGCUGGUCUGAGAGGACGACCAGCCACACUGGGACUGAGACACGGCCCAGACUCCUACGGGAGGCAGCAGUGGGGAAUUUUGGACAAUGGGGGCAACCCUGAUCCAGCCAUGCCGCGUGCGGGAAGAAGGCCUUCGGGUUGUAAACCGCUUUCGGCCGGAACGAAAUCGCCGGGGAGAACAUCCCCGGUGGAUGACGGUACCGGAAGAAGAAGCACCGGCUAACUACGUGCCAGCCGCCGCUAUAACAC